CUCAGCUUCUGCUUCAUUUUCUUUCGGUCAAAGUCCAGCCCAGCAAAGUCCACCGAAGGAGCUGCCCUCGUCAGUUUUCCUCUCAACGCGCGUCUCUCCUGGCCCAAGCGAAGCUGCUCCUCCUCCGCAACGGUCCACUGUUCUUCAGUCAACCAAACCAGCGAGCUCCACCGUUUGUUGACCGAAGCUGCCAGCGGAUGCCCUUCUCCACUGAGGUUGGUCGGCCAUUUUCACGGUUCUUCAUCAACCCGCGCUUCCUUCUCACGCGGACAACACCGAGCGAAACCUCAUCAGUUGUUGUAGCUCCUCGCGUCCGCACGCCACACGUCUUCGUCAGUCAAUCCGCAAAGCCGAUUGACCGAACCCAGCGAAGUCUUCAUCUUGUUCGCGAAACCAGCCGUUUGCUGCUGCGUUCAUUCCCUCCAGUCAACGACGCCAGCUGAAGGUGACCGAAUUCCCCAGCUCGAAGACCAGCGGAGCCGCACGCCAGCGAAGCCCGUGAAUUCGUAUGCCUUCAGCCCAUCAAUUUCAGUCAUUCAAGUCCAGCAGUUCUUCAGCCAAUUUAGUUCAAGUUGCAGCCCAGUAAUUGAGGCCCAUCUCCUGCAAUCUUCAAGCCCAAUUCAAUCCAAGUGAAGUAAUUAGUCAAGCCCAGUUCAGCAGCCCAUCAACUGAAAUUGGAGACCCAACUUCCAGCAAAGAAAUUUGAAGCCCAUGUUCAGUCUUGAUUUAAGUCCAGUCCAAGUGAAUUAAUUGAUCAAGCCCAAUUUCAACAAAUCAAUUGCAGCCCAGCCCAUAGCUUGAAGCCCAUCUUCGCAGCAGGCCCAAUCCAACUUGAGUCUGGCCCAAAAGCAAGAACAAAUCUCAGUUGGACUGAGAUUUGUUGGGCCAAGUCUUAAGCGCGGUCCGUGUUCGCCGGUGUCGUCGAAAGUCCGAUUUCAGCCGCCGUCGCGUCGCCGUCACGGUGUUCCGAUACCCGCUUUUAAUCAAGUGAGUUUUACUCACUAAAGCUUUAUUAGUUUGCUAAUUAUGCCUUAGGGUUGAUUAGAUUUAAUUAAUUGCAAUUAGGUGGUUAGAUUAGGUUAGAACAAUUAAAUUAGUGACUUGAGGAUGCAUGUUAGGUGGUUAGACCUAGCUAUUAGCAAGUAGAAAUGUUUGGUUAUUUAUUGAAGGCAUCUCGGGAUUUUUCCCGACCCGUUUCGGGCUCCAAUAAGGCAAUAUAGGCCUAAAUUGGAUUUUUAAUGUUUAUUUAUUUAUUUUUCGAAAUUAAUUAUUUAAUUAAUUAUUUUUCCGGAAAUUCAACCGGGAUGGCCGGUGACCGGAAUUUCGUGCUGAUUGUCGUGGUGCAGACCGUUUAUUUAUUUGAGCUCUACGUUGUGUGGAAUUGAAUUUAUUGUGGAAUUUUAGGAAUUGUCCUAAAUUGGUUGUUAUUGAAUAUUUGAUUGGUAAUGGCCAAGCAUGGCUAUAUAGCGCCAGUACGUUGAUGGGCUAUAUAGUAGGGAGAAUGGUGAGACCAAUCAGGUACGAUAUUAUUGGACAUACGUGGUUCGGUGAUUGGAAGUAUCACUGGUGAAAACGGCGCCUUAAAGAACGCACGUAAAUGACUUAUAGACACACGUGGUUCGGUGGUUAUGGGAAUAUCACUGGUGAAAACGGCGCCUUAAAGAACGCACGAUGUUGUCUAUAGCCGAUGUCACCUUGGCGAAAACGGUGCCCUUGAAAGGACACGUGGUUCGGUGAUCAAGGUUAUCACUGGUGAAAACGGCGCCUUAAAGAACGCACGGUGUCGGUGAUCGGUAUGUCAUUGGCGAAAACNNNNNNNNNNNNNNNNNNNNNNNNNNNNNNNNNNNNNNNNNNNNNNNNNNNNNNNNNNNNNNNNNNNNNNNNNNNNNNNNNNNNNNNNNNNNNNNNNNNNUUUUCAGAGACAUUUUUUACGUGACAGCAUGAGUGAGUUUCUUGAAAAGUGACUAUUUGUACUGUAAAUGUUGGUAUGAAAUGAGUCAAAGAACACUAACUCAAGUGAGUUAAAUCCAAGGGUUCUACAUUAAUUGAAUUAAAAUGGGACUAAGGUAAGAACUUUAAAAGAAAAGAGAGCAAACAGAUGAUGAAGAAACUUCAUGCUACAAGCCAAAAUUGAGUCAGGUAUGGGAUCAAUUUAGUAAUUUGUGAAUUCCAGAUCUUCGGUUUGGUCUUCUUAUUUAAAAGAUCAUGCUUUCAUUGACUUUUUUGAGAAGUCUAAUGCAGGAAGUAACAAACAAUUCAUCUCUGCAUUUCUCUCUGUCACCCAGAAAGAAAAAGAGAAAUGAAUUGACCUAUUGACUUCCUCCUGCUUAAAGAGUCCUUCCUACCUCCCUCCAUGUUGGAAGAUAUGCGAGAAUAUUUGAUUGAAGAUUUGAUUUGAUUAGAGCUGAUUGCGAUUUUGUACAUAUCAAUCGUGAUUAGAUUUAGAUACAGAUUGAUACAUAGGAUAAUUUACUUUCUUUAAUUACAUACUCAUUGUAUUAUAUUUACAGAAGAUCUGUACAUUUACAAUCAAUCGAAGAGAAUAGAAUACAAUUUCUUCCUUCGCACUUCACCCUCUCGGUUUCUUUCAUGGUAUCAGAGCCUCCAGGCUUCUGAUCCUAGCUUCCGCUUCAAUCUUCCAUCUCGACCUUCUGCCCAAAUUCUGACCUACAAAAUAGAAUAGCAUCAGGCAUAAGUGUCACUCUUAAGGAAGAUUCUUUCUACUUACCAUGGCUAAUCCGCAAGAUGAAGCUUCUGCUACCGGUAACCAACCCGCUGAAGGAGUAGUCCCUUAGAUCUCGCAGGCUCAGAAUUCACCUGCAUUUUUUCCUUCAAUCGAGCAAUCUUCAGCAAAUGUACAACAGCCGUUCCAGGUCCAACCCAUUCAAUGGCGGCCCUCACAGGCUCAAUUCAAUAUGGGGCAACCCAUGAUGGGCCAACAUUACCAGUGGAUUCCUUAUCCGCUUUACCUUGGGCCAAGCCCAAAUUCAUCAUUGCCCGGAUCUGUGGGCCACUAGAGCCACGUCCAAACCAACGGAGGCCCGCCAACCACAAGUGGGGCAAGCCCAACCGAAGGAGUGGAGCGGACAAAUGGGUCAGGAGAACCGAGUAUGGGAACAAAUCCCUACCCGGGAUAUUACAAUGCGGAUUAUCCAAUCGGGUCGAGUGAAUUGGGUCUAGGGACGAAUCCCUACCCGAAUCUCACACCCAGUUUUCUGCCGUUUCCAACGGCGGCCUUCGCCGGACAACCAGAACCCGGCGACCCUCUGUUCGUUUCUACCGCCGACGGACCAGAACUGUGACUAAUCAACCAGCAGUUGACUGGACCAGAAAAUUAUCCCAGAUGGUCGCAGGAAUUCCGGCGUGCCCUAGCAACGAAGGAGAAAGAUGGUUUUCUUGACGGAACCAUUCUAGUACCUGUCGAUGAGCGUCUGGCCCGACUCUGGAGGAGGAGCAACCGACUCGUCCGAACCUGGAUUGGCAAUUGCAUCUCCCCAGAAGUCUCGGCUGGACUCCCACCGAUAGAGGAUGCGAAGAACAUGUGGGAAAACAUCAAAGAAAUGUACGGUAAACUGGAUCAAGCCAAAAUAUCUACCCUAAUGCUGGAACUUAGCGAGUUAAAGCAGGGAAACAUGACGGUCACGGCUUGUUUUAACAAGCUAUCGUCACUGUGGAACAACCUCGAGGUGGCUAAGGAGAAGCUCGAGGGCCCAGAAUCAACAAUCAAGCAAUACAGAUCCAUCAAAGACAGGGAGAAAGCCACACGCUUUCUUCUUAUUUUGAACGAUACAUUUCUCACCUUUCACUCGCAAAUCCUUGCCAUGGAGCCCAUGCCGCCGAUCGGUCGGAUCUUUCAACUUGCUGUACAGGAGGAGAGCCAGCGCCUUGCGUCACCGGAACAUGCAAGGAACAACGAGAGCAUAGCUCUUGCAGUUCACGGCAAUCGGCGAGAUGGGCUCAAUCGAACCCUAGCACGUGAGGGAGAAAAAAGGGGCACGUUAGGGUUCGGCGGAGCGGAUUCACUUUCCCUUAAAAGGGAAGUCUUCAACGGCUCAGAUCGAGCGCGCGGAUCCGACGGCUCACAGGCAGCCGAUGCUUUAGGCAGAUCGAACGGUGGAGAUCAGUCCGCGGGAAAAGAGAUGGACGAUCAGAUCUUAGCCACGUCAUCAAGGAAUUUCGGGCAAAAUUUCAAUGGAAAGGGUAAAUUAUUUUGCAAAUAUUGCAAGCGUUCUAACCAUAUGAUUGACAGCUGUUGGAAAUUGCAUGGAAGACCGGGAGAAAAAGGAAAGAAAUUUUCAACUGCUUAUCAAGUCAGUGGACCCACUGGUCCAAAUGCUGAUCCUCCUAUCACUUAUGGACAAUACCAACAGUUGAUGCAAGCAAUGCAAACAUUGGAUAAUUCUGACAAAGGAGGGAGUUUCUCAGGUAUCACACAUUGCUUGAUUAAUUCUAUAUCAAGGAAAGCAUGGAUUAUUGAUUCAGGGGCAAGCGAUCAUAUUAUAUGUGACAAAGUUUUUUUCUCAAGUAUAAAUGAAGGACUGGAUUUUCCUAUCUCCGUUCAAUUAUCCAAUGGAAAUAUCACCCAUGUUAAUGUGACAGGAACAGUCAAUCUCAGUCCCCAAAUUAUUCUUUGAAAUGUUCUAUAUGUUCCGGAAUUCCAAUUCAACCUCAUUUCUGUGUCAAAAGUCUGCAAAAAAAAUUCUUGUCAAGUAUUAUUCAAUGCUGAUACCUGUUUCUUUUAGGCCCUUUGGACUGGGAGACUAAUGGGCUGGGGUAACGUUUCCGAAUGACUAUUUUUUUGGUCACAUCUUCCAAGUAAUUUUGAUUUAUCAUGCACUUCAUUGAAUAAACCUUCCUUAUGUAAUUUGAGCAUGAAUGACAAAAAUUUCCUUAUGCACUUGAGAUUGGGUCAUAGUGCCUCCUUUCCUUGUCAGCAGUGUCCUAUAUGUCCUCUUGCAAAACAAUCUCGCACACCCUUCCCAUCCAGUAACUCCUGUACUAGUGAGAUUUUUUCCUUAAUUCAUGUGGAUAUUUGGGGACCUUAUCAUACUAUUAAUCAUGAUGGAUCUCGUUACUUCCUCACCAUAGUCGACGAUUAUUCUCGUGUGACGUGGAUUUUUUUGAUGCAGUCUAAAGAUCAGACUUUCUUCUAUUUGAAAACAUUCAUCACAUUAUCCAAGAAUCAGUUUGGAAAAUCCAUUCAGCGGAUUCGUAUUGAUAACGGAGCAGAAUUCUUCAAUCACAAUUGCUCCUUCCUUUUUUCAUCUCAUGGGAUCGAACAUGAAAGUUCAUGCGUUUAUACACCACAACAAAAUGGAGUGGUUGAACGCAAGCAUCGCCAUUUAAUGGAAGUUGCACGUGCUUUAAAGUUUCAAGCUUCAAUCCCAGAAGAUUAUUGGGGAGAUUGUGUCAUCACGGCGGCCUAUUUAAUCAACCGUAUGCCCACUCGGAUCCUCAAUGGGCGAACGCCAUUUGAACUAUUGUUCCAAAAGAAACCUAAGCUAAAACAUCUCAAGGUUUUUGGAUGUCUAUGCUAUGUUGCCACAGUGGGUCCUCGCGACAAAUUCAGUCCACGUGCUCGACAACAUGUUUUCAUGGGAUAUUCAAAUCUCCAGAAGGGGUAUCGAGUUAUGGAGAUUUCCACAAAGGAAUUUAUUGUCAGUCGUGAUAUCAUAUUUCACGAGAACAUUUUCCCCUUCUCUCAAAAGACAUCUUCAGGUGAAGAUUCAGGGAUCAUUUCAAAUCCUCGUAGGCCAUUAUCCGAGGAAGCAUUCCCUCGUGAUUCUUGUUACAUCUCAUUGGAACAAUCGAAGAAUAUUUCUGUUCCCAUUCCAGCAACACCAGAAAAUGUAGCUGAGAAUCUCAUCUCAUUAGAAAAUACACCAGAAGACUCCAGCACUGAUGAGGAAAUCCAGGAUAUCUCACCAUUGCCUUCCAAUGAGAGUGUCCAAACUCCUAUAGUGGUCGAUCAACCAAGACGUUCUUGUCGAGCCACACGACCUCCAACCUGGACCAAAGAUUAUGUUUGUGCCACACACAAUUCUCCAGGUAUCCAAUAUCCUAUUUCAUCCUAUGUUUCCUUUCAUAGAUUAUCACAGAAACAUAGACGUUGCAUUAGUCGUCUAUCAGAAGGCAAAGAACCAUCUAGUUAUGGUGAGGCGUCCAUUGAUCCGAAAUGGCAACAAGCCAUGCAGGCAGAACUAAAGGCACUGAUUGAUAACCAAACCUGGGAUCUUAUUCCAUUGCCACCCAAUCGCAAGCCAAUUGGGUGCAAAUGGGUUUACAAGAUUAAAUAUCGUGCUGAUGACUCCAUUGAACGAUACAAGGCAUGAUUGGUAGCCAAGGGAUUCACCCAACUAGAAGGUUUUGACUAUCACGAGACAUUCUCUCCAGUCGCCAAAGAUGUCACGAUCCGUUCUUUUUUAAAUGUUGCUGCCAUUAAUGACUGGCCUUUACAUCAAAUGGACGUCAACAAUGCCUUCCUUCACGGUGAUUUAGACGAAGAAAUCUAUAUGGAUAUUCCCCAGGGUUUACGAAGACAAGGGGAGAAUAGAGUAUGUCGUCUUCACAAAUCCCUUUAUGGAUUGAAACAAGCCUCCAGGCAGUGGUAUGCCAAAUUUGCAGAUGCUCUUACAACAACAGGCUUCAAGCAGUCCAAGCAUGACUAUGCUUUAUUUACACAAAGCAAAGGUAUGUCAUCUAUCUAUUUGAUGAUAUAUGUCGAUGAUAUUCUCCUUAUGGGAAAUGAUAAAGCUGCCAUAGAAAGAUUCAAGGAAUAUUUGCAUGCCACAUUUCACAUUAAGGAUUUAGGGGCACCUAAAUAUUUCCUUGGAAUCGAAAUUGCUCGAUCUGACCAAGGGAUUUCUCUUAGUCAAAGGAAAUUUAUUUUGGACAUUAUAUCAGAAGCAGGUCUGUCGGGAUGUAAGCCAGCUGUAAUUCCCAUCGAGCAGAACACUAAAUUGACUUUUGCAGAUUAUGAUAAGGGUAUAUCUAUAAAUGAUGACCCAACACUCAGAGAACCAUCAGGCUAUCAAAGGCUUGUCGGGAGCUCAUAUAUCUGACUAUGACCAAGCCCGACAUCACUUAUGCAAUAUAGACACUUAGUCAGUUCAUGCAUAAUCCCAAGCAAUCUCAUUUGGACGCUGCCUUGAAGAUUGUGAAAUAUUUGAAGAAAUGUCCAGGACUCGGGAUACUUCUAUCCAAGAGAUGUGACAUGAAGAUGACAGCAUACUGUGAUGCAAACUAUGCAACAUGUCCUAUAAGUCGAAGAUCAGUCACUGGAUAUUGCAUCAAAUUCGGAGAAUCACUUCUUUCAUGGAAGACCAAGAAGCAACCUACCGUGUCCUUGUCCUCAACCGAAGCAGAGUACAGAGCUAUGGCAAAAACCACUUGCCAAAUAAUAUGGAUAUGAGGCCUUCUUAAAGAUCUCAGAGUACAAGUGCAAGGACCAACAAAGUUAUACUGUGACAAUGAUGAUGCUCUCAAGCUUGCAGCAAAUCCUAUAGUGCAUGAAAGAACCAAGCACAUAGAGGUGGAUUGUCACUUUACACGGGAGAAGAUUCAAGAAGGAGUGAUUGAGACAAAGGGAAUUGGUACAACAGAACAACCAGCAGACAUCUUUACCAAACCCUUAUGUCAGAGACAACACGCAUAUCUUCUGAACAAGCUAGGCGUCUUGGACAUCUACAAGCCACCAGCUUGAGGGGGAGUGUUGGAAGAUAUGCGAGAAUAUUUGAUUGAAGAUUUGAUUUGAUUAGAGCUGAUUGCGAUUAUGUACAUAUCAAUCGUGAUUAGAUUCAGAUACAGAUUGAUACAUAGGAUAAUUUACUUUCUUUAAUUACAUACUCAUUUUAUUAUAUUUACAGAAGAUCUGUACCUUUACAAUCAAUGAAGAGAAUAGAAUACAAUUUCUUCCUUCGCACUUCACCCUCUCGGUUUCUUUCACUCCAAACCCAAGAACUCAAUUUUGUAGAUGGCAGGUAGAAACGUCUGGGGGUUGAAGCAGUUGUAUCUGCAAAUGUCAUGCAAGAGAAAAAACUUUGAAGCUUUCUUCAGGAGAUGUGCCUCAACCUCAUCACAAGUACAUGAGAAUUGCAAAGCCUCACUGCUGAAGAAAUUGAAUGCCAAGAUUCCUGAAGAGAGCGACAAUGUCUGCAUCUACCAAGUCCCCACAAAACUGCGUCAAGUAGAGGCAAAGGCAUAUGAUCCAAGCAUUGUAUCGAUUGGCCCUUAUCAUCGUGGAGAUCAACACUUGAAAGAAAUGGAGGAGGUAAAGCUAAAAUUUUUCCACAGGGUUUUCAAGUCAAGACAAGAAGGUGAAGACGUACUAGACAGAGUGAUUUCGGCAAUGGAGAAACUAGAGCCGAGGGCUAGGAGUUUUUACGCAGACGAUGUUAAGCUGAGCAGAGACGAGUUCACUGAGAUGAUGACCAUCGAUGGCUGCUUCAUCCUGCAGCUCUUGAGGGAGGUCGGCAGCUGUUCUUCUUCAUCCCUUCUUCAAAGGUGGAUGUUGCCAACGCUGUGCCGCAAUUUAAUCAAGCUUGAAAACCAGCUCCCAAUGAUAGUUCUACACAAAUUACUCAAAUUGGUCAAUGCCAAUUCUCAAUGUGAAUACUCAAUUCUUUCCCUACAGGACCUCGCUUUGAAGUUCUUCAAUUCGUUAUGGCAGAGGGACUCCCAUAUGAAUGUCGCCAGUGCCACCGCGAUUAAUGGGACCUAUCACUUUCUUGAUCUUUUCCGAUCCAGCAUUCUCCCGGAGAUACAGGAUCAGGACCGAAAAAGGCAACUGCACAUGAUCCGAUCUGUAACUGUGUUAAAGGAAGCAGGAGUAGUCCUUGAGAAAUCACCCAAUGACGGGGCAUUUGACGUCCAAUCCGAGGGAAGGUUCCUGAAGAUUCCGCCACUCCACAUCGACGAUCGCAGAGGCACCUUGUUCCGCAACAUGGUGGCCUUCGAGCAAUGCCACAAGAAAUGCAAACCCGACGCGACGGCAUAUAUGUUCUUCUUUGCUGGGCUCAUGAACUCGGUGGAUGAUGUGGAAAUCCUCCAUUACAAAGGCAUAGUCCACCACUCCCUCGAAAGUAACACAGAGGCGGCGAAUCUAGUGAACAAGCUGUGCAGAGAAGUGGACUGGGAUGGAGAAGAGUCGUAUCUGCACAAAGUGGUGUGCGAAGACAUUGACAUCUACUUCAUGAGUGCUCGCGCGAAGCUCAGAGGGCGCCUCGUUCAUUACUACUUCAGCAACUGGACAGUCGGAAUUUCGACUGUGGCAGGAUUGUUCGCGCUAUAUCUGACGCUAAUCCAAACAAGUUGCAGUGUCGCUGAUGCACUAGAAUAUAUGCAGGAGGAAAGCUUCUGGUCAUACCUAAGUCUAUCAUUUUUUCUGCCCUUCUCUCGCCCCUUCAUGCCGCUAGAUCAAAAGGAUUUGAACAAGGAAUGAAGUUUGAGGAUAUGCAAUUAGUUCUUGAUAACAAAUUUGCAGGUUCUUUUGGACGUAUGAUGUGUGGCACCCUGAAGCACCUUAGGUCGCCACAGGCACCUAUCGCUACACCUAAUGGACACUAGUUACAUCUCUUAGAAGAAGCGUCGUACUUCAUAGGCAUAUUUUUUUUUUAGAAAACGGUCCCGGCGCGACUCAUUAGCAGAAGCAAAAUUUAAUAUCACCAUCUCUCCCUCUAACAAUCAUGAUACAAUGCACACGACUAAGUACCAUAGGAAAAGAUAAAGCCAUACCACUUUUAUUUACAUAUUUUAAUGAUGGAUUUUCUCGAGUCGAUGCAACAAAAGAAAGCCAAGAUUUUCAGCUACACUUGGCCAUAUUCCAAAAAGAUACUACGACCCCUAAAGUGAUCACGUGUCAUCCUCCAUCUAACAGUGGCGGCUACUUCCAAAAAGAAACACCAGCUCUCUACCCCUCACGUGACCAUCACACCCAUCCUGGUGCGUUGGGCGGUAGUGGCGGCAACAUCCCCCGAAUCACUCCAUCUCGGCGGACGUGAACCGAUAGAAACUCCUGAAUAACCGGGCCCCCAGCCAAGCCCACAUCGUACAUGACCAGCACUCGCACUCGCACAUAUGUCAAACCAGGGAUGGUAACACAGUCGAUCUCCGUACACUCUACCUCUACAUCUGAUGGGAGGCCAUAGAAGGUGCCUCGCAUGACGGUAAGAAGCGGCAUCUUUCUAAUCUGAAAUGUUGGUCCCCGAAGGGGCGAGUACAUCCAUUCAACAAGUAAAGGACCAAUAAACCACUCAAUGCAUCAUACAAUACAAUCAUCGCAAUUAUAGCACAACACAUGUCAUUCAAGCAUCCAUGCACAAUUUACCUUGAUAUCAUGCAUAUGUCAUCAUACCUCAUGUACAUACAUCAUCAUAUAGUCAUCACCUUCAUGUCAUACACUUACCAUCAUCAUGUCACAUGUACCAUCAUGCCAUAGGUGCACAUACAUCCAUGCACUCACCAUCAUCAUGCAUCCAUGUACUCAUCAUCAUCAUAUCACAUGCACUCAUCAUCAUCAUGUCAUACACUUACCAUCAUCAUGUCACAUGUACCAUCAUGCCAUAGGUGCACAUACAUCCAUGCAUUCACCAUCAUCAUGCAUCCAUGCACUCAUCAUCAUCAUAUCACAUGCACUUAUCAUCAUCAUGUCAUACAUAUACCAUCAUGCAUGAUUCAAUUUCAAUUUCCCAAUUUCAUCCUUUCAUUUUGGAUCGUCAUAUUUCUCUUUCCCGGGACCAAUGUUUGCAUCCCACAUUCAUCACUCGCACCCCACCUGGCAUCGCAAGAACCAUCCGGCACAAUACCUAUCAGGCAUCCAGCACAAUACCUGCCAGGCAUCUCGUACCCCAAUUGGCAUCACGAGGCAUCCCUCGACACAAUACCUGCCGAGCUUCCAGCUCCCCCACUCUCCGGGCAUCUCGAAACUCCCGAGGACCCUCCGGCAUCCGGCCAUUCAAGGCCACCGGGCAACCGACCGUACCCUUCUAGCCAAGCAUCCCAACACUCCCGGGGCAUCGUCGGCGCACACCUCCGACGGCCUUCUCACUUAUCUUAAUUCACAUCUUCAAUUAUCAUUCAAUUUUAACAUGGCAUAUGAUGUAAUGGCAAGCAAGAUCAUUUUCAUCCUUUGAUUCAUACAUGCAUUUCCAAUCAUCAUCAUACAUGCAAUAAGACUCGAUCAUUCAUAACAAUACAAUUCAUGGAGUCCAUACAAUUUAGAAUAGUCCAUUUAUCAUGCCUUUUUGAAGUUUACUAAAUUCCAGCUUGUACCAUUUUAGAAAACAUUUAAACUAAAAAUCCAUAUGAUUCUCGAAAAUCAUAAAAUCAGGACAUGUGAUAGACAAGACAAUAAGGUAACAAUUUCAUGAAGAACACAUGUCCGAAAGAGUUUCACACAAGAAGAUAUAAUUCACACAAAUACAGCAUGUAAUUUCGGAUAGAAACAGAUUGCGCAGUUUUUGAAAUAAUUCGAUUAAAGUACCCGAAUGACCUCCAAAAAUUAUGAAACUUUUACCAGGUUAUAGUAAAGACACUAAAGUAGAUUUUUCAUGAAGACAUCUAGGCCAGCUUCAUUCUAGAUAAUUUUCUAUAGACGUCCAAAGCUCCUGAUUCUAGCACCGAAACGUCCAGUAUAGCUAUCUCCGAAAUAUCGAGUUUUCACCUACUUAUCCUUCUUAGUUUCCUCUGAAAUUUUGAUAUGUUUUGCCUCAAGAGGUCCCCUACAACUUUUAUUAAGGAAUAUAAGUGAAAUUUCCAAAUAAUAGUCACCAUAUGGGUCCAAGAAGUCUCGGGUGUCCAGUACCGUAUUUCCAGAUUUACUGUCUUCAAGAGAAAGUCGAUUCACUAGGCUACACUUUCUCAUUUUACCUAAAAUUUGAGUAUGUUAGUCUUUAGGAUGUUCUCUACAAGUUUCAUGAAGAAGUCGAAGGGAAAUUCUCGGUAAAAAGCAACAUGCAACCCACAAAACUACCAAAAGGUCAGCAAAGCAGCUCCAGAUCUAGUGUCUUCGUAGGAAGAUGGUUUUUCCCCUUAAAACUCAACUAUUUUGUCCCAAAUUUUAGUAUGUUAUUAUUUGAGAUGUUUUCUACAACUUUCAUGAUGGAGGCGAAGUCAAAAUCCAACUCGAAACACACAUGCAAGCUUCCACAAGUUUCUGGGUCAGGCAGUAUACACGAAAUCAGCAAGCAUUUUCAAGAACCAACCACAUUAGCGUCGGUUCCUUACCUCUAAACACCCAAGAUUCAACCACACAUGCAAGACACACAUGCAAGAGUAGAAAUUGAUCCUAACUUGCCUCUAAGAUCAAGUGGACGACGGCACACGGACGGCGAAUGGGUGGUGAAAAUCCAACUCGAAACACACAUGCAAGCUCCCACAAGUUUCUGGGUCAGGCGGUAUACACGCAAUCAGCAAGCAUUUUCAAGAACAACCACAUUCUCUUCUUCUUUUUUUUUUGUGACCCAGGGAACCCCGCACGGCCGGAGCCGGAGAUAAACCACUAGGGGCGACACGUGCCGGUCACCACACAUGUGCCACCGGGUAAGUCGCUAAAGGGCUCAAAGCUAGCUUUCCUACAACUUGCGUUGCAGGAGCUUCGAACACUAGACCUCCUCGAUGGAAGUCUAGUGCCUACCCAGCUGAGCCACCACAGCGGGUGGUCUCUCUCUCCCUUUUGUUUCCCCUAAUUCCCAUCAUUAGCAAUGAUGAUGUGCCUUCCCACAAGCCAAUGCAUGGAGCCUUCCUUUUUGCCACUUAGCAAGACUCAUGCAAGAUGGGCUUGGGCUUGGAAGAAGUGGGCCGGCCACUCCUCCCCUCCUUGGUCGACGGUCACCUCUCCAUGGGCCUCAAUGGGCCGGCCAUUUGGCCCACCAAGAGUCCAAGCUAUUGGGCCUAAGGCCCAACCUAAUUAAAAUCAAAUUUUAACCUUCUUUUUAAAUACUAAUUAAAUCCUUAUUGGACUAAAGUACUAUAGGGUAAAAUAAAAUAACUAAACACUUAAAAAUCACAAAUCCAUAGAUUCUAAUGCACGAUACAUAUGGCCAAAGAUAAGCCAUCCUCUUCCAAGAUUUAUCCAUUUAAACUCGGCCAUAGAUCUCAAUACAAGACAUUAAUUGGAGCACCCCUAAUGACUAGCAAAGAAUUUCAGGAUGCCACAUGAUGGGCGGUCAUUCCCAUUUUCUUGAGUCUUGUUCUAAGUCUUAUUCCUUUGUUUCAUGAUGUCUUACCAAUGAUCUAUCUUUAGAAUUCUAAUAUGUUAGGAGACCUAAAAAAAUUGUGGGAAAUGCUUGGCUGGGUCGAUGUGACCCCAACCGAGCUAUCUAUUCAUAAUAAAGCUAAGAGCCCAAAAUUACAAUAUCUCUCUUAUUACCAUCAUACAUAAAAUAAUAAAGGAAAUAGACAAAUAUAUUCCAUUGGCCAAAUACUCUCAACACUUCCCCUCAAGUUGGAGCAUAAAUAUCACUCAUGCCCAACUUGACUAAAAUAAUAUGAAAUGAUUUAACCUUUGAUCAUUUAGUAAACACAUCAGCAAGUUGAUCACUAGACUGGACAAAUGGCAUAUAAAUUAAAUGACUCCAACUUCUCCGUGAUAAAAGUGAAAUUAAAAGUUAACUAAAAUAUUGACUUUUAGUCAAAUCUUUGACCAAAAAAUUGAAAAAAUAAAAAAUUCUCAAAUGCAUUUUUUUAAUACCAAUUUGACUUUGAUGUAGAAAAUUUUGCAAAAAUCGAUUAAGAAUCUUGUAUUCCAAAUUUUUUGGUUUUAGGUUCUAAAUCAGCCAAAAAUCAAAUUACUUUUAUUAUAAUCAUAAUUAGGUAUAGUUCAUUAUUUAAUAUUUGGUUUAAGGACUAUUUUAAAUCUGCUCAUGCAUUCUGUUUCACGAAUUGCUCAGUCAAUAUACAAAUUGCUAUUUUGAGCCCUAAUUAGGGGGCCAAAAUCGAUUAUUUAUGAAUUGCGAAUGGACGGUUGUUCUUCACUCAUUUUCUUAAGAUAAUUCCAAAUCCAAAAUCGAUUUUGAGGAGAUUUACAUCAGAAUUUCUCGAUUUGAAGAAUUUUACUCUUUCAAGUAUAAGAAAGUCAAGCAAUUAAGCUUUAAUUGGCAAAAUUCGAAUUGAUCAAUUGAAGGUUAUGAUUUAAUUUCAUAAAUCUAGGUUCAAUUUUGAUAUUAGACCUAAAUUCAUUUUUACAUAAGCUCAAGCACUCCAAUUCGAGGUUAAUUUGAAUAUAUUAGGUGAUCUUACGCAUGGGUGAUUAAUUAGAUAAGAUAAUUGUGAUAUUAGUUUAACUCAAUUUAAAUCAAUUUACAAUUUUAUCCAUUGAAUUACAAAUUUGAUCAUUUUAGCCCUUUAAGCUCGAUUAAAAAAAUUUAUGGUUUUGACCUAUUGCCUUUCAUGAUAAUCAUUCGAUUAAGUCAUUAAAAGAUCUCUAUAUCGCAUUCAUAAAGUUUGAUUGGCCUCAUUCGAUUAAGUCAAUAAAAGACCUCUAGAUCCCAUUCAUAAAGUUUGAUUGGCCUAAUUGAAUCACAAUGGGGCAGUUUCCUCUCAAAUAAGGUAAUUAUUCUUUCAAGGCCAAAUUGCAUAAAUUUGAACCCACAAGGGUUAAGAACUGUUGAAUAGGAGUGAACCGGUCUGACUAAUCUGAUCAAUUGGCAGCGAAUUCUAGACCUCCAGCGAAGUGAUUGAUUCUAGGAUCCUCAUUGUGUCAAUAUCACUUAUGCACCUUUAAUUUCUUGAAAUUUUGCAAAUUAAUCAUCGAAUCUCAUAAAAUUGUGAUUUGACCCCUAAGUGGACAUUUUGAUGCAAUUCUCAAUUUUAACUCGGGUUUUCGCAAAUCAAACCCACUAGAUUGAUUACCCGACACCUCAAAAUCGAAUUUUGACUAUUGGAUUACGAUUUCGAUCGUUGGAUUGAAUCGACGUUUGAAAUUCCUUGAUUUGGAGAGGUUGUAUACCUACCAAUUUUCCCUCCAUUUUUAAUGGGCCUCGUUUGCAUGAAAUUUCUUCUCUCUCUUCAAGUUUCUCUCUCAUCUCUUUGUUGUUUCCCACCAUUUCCUCCUUCCUCCCUUUUCUUGCCAACCAAAUUGGUCGCACGAUAGUUCUAGCUCGUUGGCCUCAUGCCGGCGGCCCACCGGACGCCGCCUAGCCCCCGGCGGUCCCUCUCAUUCUCCUCCUUCGUCCCUUGGUGAAAACCGCCAUCUCCGGCGGCUGAUUGAUGGGCUUAAACCGAUUUGUUCUGGUCAGUUCACAGAACCGACGAUCAAGUCGGUUUUCAAGUUUACCAGCUCGACUGCCGGUUCGGCUACUGAGAUCGGCGAAGCAGACCCCGCCGAUCUAUCCCUGAGUUUGUUCCCGACCUUGCUGUGGUUGGGAACUAAUAGAUCAGCCACCGGAAUACCUUCGGUGGCCCGAUCUCUUCGGAGAGUCCAAAACCAGUCCAAGUAGGACCGAUUCUGUUCCAGCCUAAACCGAAGGCCGCCAGUGCUCUCAGGAGCCUCCAACCGCUGGCGAUCAGUAGCUCCAGAGGUCCCUGACCUCGCCGUAGUUAGGGAUAGGCGGAUUGGCUACCGGAUCUCCUCCGGCAGCCAAUCUCCACCGGUGAAUCAAGACCAAUCCAACUUUGGACCAAUUCUGGCGUUUGCUUCGAACCAACGGUUCAACCGACCUCGAUUUGGUUCCCUCGGUGGUUUGUGACUAUCUGAUCGUGAUUCUGGAGAUCCGUGUGCGUUCUGAAGAGCUUGAUUCGAUCGAUGACGUCUACAAUCAACGAAAACGCGUAAAAGGUAACGUACUUUAUCUCGAACCACGUGAAGCGAGGCUGAAUUAACUGGUCGUGGCUAAGGUUCAAUCUUAGGGAUAUAUGCUAUGUUCAUAUGCUCAUUGAUGAGUUGCUCAAACUUGAACUUGAUUGAUUGUUCUUGAUGAACUUGGAUGAUUAAACUUGUUUAGGCUUGAAUCUACAUUUUCGUAUCUACUGGACUGAUCGGAUGUUUUGGCCAAAAUGAGGUCUGAAACGACCUGAUCUUAGUUCGAGUUCUCUUAGACUUUUAAAAUGCACAUCACUAGCUUCGAAUCGAUAGGUUGCAGGCCCCAAUUGAGCGACGUUUGGCCCUCGNNNNNNNNNNNNNNNNNNNNNNNNNNNNNNNNNNNNNNNNNNNNNNNNNNNNNNNNNNNNNNNNNNNNNNNNNNNNNNNNNNNNNNNNNNNNNNNNNNNNGGAGUACACCACUGGGAAUUCGUGGUAUGAGUGGGAAUGACCUAGAAAGGGCCUGGCUAACAUGUAAUCGACUUAGUCGAUUGAUCAAUGCUUGAUCGGAUGUCGUGAAUUGUUUGAAUGCUUGUGUUUAACCUUGAAUUGCAGGUUGGAACUGAGGCCAAGGUAAGUCCUCUGACUCGUGUUGUGCUUAGGCAACCGUAUGGCGUAUUAGUUUAUUAAUCGAGUCUUAGUGGGUAGGACUCGCUGAGACGUGGUCUCAUUGGUUAUUGAAUAACCAUUUCAGGACCUUGAGGAGAAUCUAAGGAAGAGGAACCUGAAGAGGAGAAAGACUUUUGAGGAAGAAGAUGAUCCAGAGAGGGAUCUUGAAUACAACCCGGAUGUGGAUUGAGAUCCCAUCCCUUUUGUGAACCCUGUCUUGGUAUAGAUAGGUGUGCGACUUUUAUGCUGUAAAUAGUAUUGUAAAUAUACUAUGAGUGGUGAUGUUAAUGAAAGUGUGGUUAUGAAUUUCAAUAUGAAAAAUAUGGCCUGCUUUCCUAUCCCAUUGUUUUAUUGUCUGGGGAUUUAUAACUGCUUCCGCAUGUGCUUAAUAAAAAAGAAAGGGUCGGCGAUACAUAGUCAUGGGAUAUCGCAUUAUAAAAUCGACCAAGUAGAAGGAUGUGCGCGCGUCCGAGGAUCGGGGCGUGACAUAUCCUACCAUUAACUUUAGAGUGAUUUUUUUUUUCUCAUUUAAUCAAAAGAUCCAAAAAUUUACUCGCCAUGAGUUUUAGGAUUACAAAUGUUCUUUGAGUGCUGCAACAAAAUUACAGUCCUAGCUCCUUAAUCAUGCAUGCAAAUGAGACACGAUCUGCUGGUUGAUCGUAAUAAUAAGUCUUGCUUGCAGAAAUGACCAAGAAAGUUUCAAGGAAACAGCUUAAAUAUAAUGCGACAAAUGCAAAGGAAAUAGUACUCUAAAAAUGCUGAAACUUUUGAAAGAUAGAUAUGCAAGGUAUAAAUAAAUAUCUGUCAAUAGCUCAAAGAAUAACAGAACAAACAUAAGCAAUAUAUAUAUAUAUAUAUAUAUAUAUAUAUAUAUAUAUAUUAAAAAAUACUAUUCGUCACAUGAACUGCUACAGAAGAAUUCGGUACAAGCAUAAAAUGGGGCUGAGCACCUCAAUAACUGAAUAAGACUUCUUUACUAACCAUGAGGAACUUUUCUUGUGCAGAUGUCAAUGCUUUUCGUGACUUAUCGAGAUGACCACUGUGAUAAGCUACCACUCCUUCCAACAGGUCUAACCACAAAUGC
rnacentral:lncRNA from 1 species